CUCCUACGGGAGGCAGCAGUGGGGAAUUUUGGACAAUGGGGGAAACCCUGAUCCAGCCAUGCCGCGUGAGUGAAGAAGGCCUUCGGGUUGUAAAGCUCUUUCGGCCGGAACGAAAUCGGGGGCGUGAAUAACGCGUCUGGAUGACGGUACUGGAAGAAGAAGCACCGGCUAACUACGUGCCAGCAGCCGCGGUAAUACGUAGGGUGCGAGCGUUAAUCGGAAUUACUGGGCGUAAAGCGUGCGCAGGCGGUUCUGCAAGUCAGAUGUGAAAUCCCCGGGCUUAACCUGGGAACUGCGUUUGAAACUACGGAGCUAGAGUACGGCAGAGGGGGGUGGAAUUCCACGUGUAGCAGUGAAAUGCGUAGAUAUGUGGAGGAACACCGAUGGCGAAGGCAGCCCCCUGGGCCGAUACUGACGCUCAGGCACGAAAGCGUGGGGAGCAAACAGGAUUAGAUACCCUGGUAGUCCACGCCCUAAACGAUGUCAACUGGUUGUUGGGAAGGUUCCUUCUCA
rnacentral:rRNA from 1 species